UGUCAUGUUAUCGAUAUGUGAAUACAUAGCAUAUCAGAAGGCACACCCGGAGAACUGAAACAUCUUAGUACCCGGAGGAAGAAAAAGAAAAUUCGAUUCCCUUAGUAGCGGCGAGCGAAACGGGAAGAGCCCAAACCAACAAGCUUGCUUGUUGGGGUUGUAGGACACUCUAUACGGAGUUACAAAGGACGACAUUAGACGAAUCAUCUGGAAAGAUGAAUCAAAGAAGGUAAUAAUCCUGUAGUCGAAAAUGUUGUCUCUCUUGAGUGGAUCCUGAGUACGACGGAACACGUGAAAUUCCGUCGGAAUCUGGGAGGACCAUCUCCUAAGGCUAAAUACUCUCUAGUGACCGAUAGUGAACCAGUACCGUGAGGGAAAGGUGAAAAGCACCCCGGAAGGGGAGUGAAAUAGAACCUGAAACCGUGUGCUUACAAGUAGUCAGAGCCCGUUAAUGGGUGAUGGCGUGCCUUUUGUAGAAUGAACCGGCGAGUUACGAUUUGAUGCAAGGUUAAGCAGUAAAUGUGGAGCCGUAGCGAAAGCGAGUCUGAAUAGGGCGUUUAGUAUUUGGUCGUAGACCCGAAACCAGGUGAUCUACCCUUGGUCAGGUUGAAGUUCAGGUAACACUGAAUGGAGGACCGAACCGACUUACGUUGAAAAGUGAGCGGAUGAACUGAGGGUAGCGGAGAAAUUCCAAUCGAACCUGGAGAUAGCUGGUUCUCUCCGAAAUAGCUUUAGGGCUAGCCUCAAGUGAUGAUUAUUGGAGGUAGAGCACUGUUUGGACGAGGGGCCCCUCUCGGGUUACCGAAUUCAGACAAACUCCGAAUGCCAAUUAAUUUAACUUGGGAGUCAGAACAUGGGUGAUAAGGUCCGUGUUCGAAAGGGAAACAGCCCAGACCACCAGCUAAGGUCCCAAAAUAUAUGUUAAGUGGAAAAGGAUGUGGCGUUGCCCAGACAACUAGGAUGUUGGCUUAGAAGCAGCCAUCAUUUAAAGAGUGCGUAAUAGCUCACUAGUCGAGUGACACUGCGCCGAAAAUGUACCGGGGCUAAACAUAUUACCGAAGCUGUGGAUUGUCCUUUGGACAAUGGUAGGAGAGCGUUCUAAGGGCGUUGAAGCAUGAUCGUAAGGACAUGUGGAGCGCUUAGAAGUGAGAAUGCCGGUGUGAGUAGCGAAAGACGGGUGAGAAUCCCGUCCACCGAUUGACUAAGGUUUCCAGAGGAAGGCUCGUCCGCUCUGGGUUAGUCGGGUCCUAAGCUGAGGCCGACAGGCGUAGGCGAUGGAUAACAGGUUGAUAUUCCUGUACCACCUAUAAUCGUUUUA
rnacentral:rRNA from 1 species